rnacentral:lncRNA from 1 species
AUUUACACUCUCGGGGCACAAUAGAACAAUAUAAUUAGCUUUAACUCUUUAUUCGAUUAAAUGAGAAAAAGUACUCGUUGCAAAGUUAUACUGUUAGGGCGCAACUGAGUAGUCUUUUUUUGUUCCGGUUUUGGUUCUUUUAAAGUUUGACAUCAAUUCGUUCCAUAUUUACACUCUCGGUGUAUAAUAGAACAAUAUAAUUAGCUUUUACUGUUUGUUCGAUUGAAUGAUAAAAAUUACUCGUUACAAAGUUAUACAGUUAGGGCGUAACUGAGUAGUCUACUUUUGUUCCGGUUUUGGUGUGUUUGAAGGUUGACAUCCAUUCGUACCAUAUUUACACUCUCGCGGUAUAAUAGAACAAUAUAAUUAGAUUUUACUCUUUGUUCGAUUGAAUAAGAAAAAGUACUCGUUCCAAAGUUAUACUGUUUGGGCGCAACUGAGUAGUCUAUUUUUGUUCCGGUUUUGGUUCUUGUGAAUGUUGAGAUCGAUUCGUUCCAUAUUUACACUCUCUGGGCAUAAUAGAACAAUAUAAUUAGCUUUAACUCUUUAUUGGAUUAAAUGAGAAAAAGUACUCGUUGCAAUGUUAUACUGUUAGGGCGCAACUGAGUAGUCUUUUUUUGUUCCGAUUUUGGUUCUUUUAUAGGUUGACAUCAAUUCGUUCCAUAUUUACACUCGCGGGGUAUAAUUGAACAAUAUAAUUAGCUUUUACUCUUUGUUCGAUUCAAUGAUAAAAAGCACUCGUUACAAAGUUAUACAGUUAGGGCGUAACUGAGUAGUCUACAUUUGUUCCGGUUUAGGUUCUUUUGAAGGUUGACAUCCAUUCGUUCCAUAUUUAUACUCUCGCGGUAUAAUAGAACAAUAUAAUUAGCUUUUACUAUUUGUUCGAUUGAAUGAGAAAAAGUACUCGUCGCUAAGUUAUAUUGUUAGGGCGGAACUGAGUAGUCUUUUUUUGUUCCGUUUUGGUUCUUGUGAAGGUUGACAUCGAUUCGUUCCAAAUUUACACUCUCCAGACACAAUAGAACAAUAUAAUUAUCUUUUACUCUCUGUUCGAUUAAAUGACAAAUAGUACUCGUUGCAAAGUUAUACUGUUAGGGCGCAUCUGAGUAGUCUACUUUUGUUCCGAUUUUGGUGUUUUUGAAGGUUGACAUCCAUUCGUACCAUAUUUACACCCUCGCGGUAUAAUAGAACAAUAUAAUUAGAUUUUACUCUUUGUUCGAUUGAAUGAUAAAAAGUACUCGUUGCAAAGUUAUACUGUUAGGGCACAACUGAGUAGUCUACUUUUGUUCCGGUUUAGGUUCUUUUGAAGGUUGACAUCCAUUCGUUCCAUAUUUAUACUCUCGCGGUAUAAUAGAACAAUAUAAUUAGCUUUUACUAUUUGUUCGAUUGAAUGAGAAAAAGUACUCGUCGCUAAGUUAUAUUGUUAGGGCGGAACUGAGUAGUCUUUUUUUGUUCCGUUUUGGUUCUUGUGAAGGUUGACAUCGAUUCGUUCCAAAUUUACACUCUCCAGACACAAUAGAACAAUAUAAUUAUCUUUUACUCUCUGUUCGAUUAAAUGAGAAAUAGUACUCGUUGCAAAGUUAUACUGUUAGGGCGCAUCUGAGUAGUCUACUUUUGUUCCGGUUUUGGUGUUUUUGAAGGUUGACAUCCAUUCGUACCAUAUUUACACUCUCGCGGUAUAAUAGAACAAUAUAAUUAGAUUUUACUCUUUGUUCGAUUGAAUAAAAAAAAGUACUCGUUCCGAAGUUAUACUGUUUGGGCGCAACUGAGCAGUCUUUUUUGUUCCGGUUUUUGUUCUUUUAAAGGUUGACAUCAAUUCGUUCCAUAUUUACACCUCUGCGCAUAAUAGAACAAUAUAAUUAGCUUUUACUCUUUGUUCGAUUAAAUGAGAAAAAGUACUCGUUACAAAGUUAUACUGUUAGGACGCAACUGAGUAGUCUUUUUUGUUCCGAUUUUUAUUCUUUUAAAGGUUGACAUCAAUUCGUUCCAUAUUUACACUCUCGGGGUAUAAUAGAACAAUAUAAUUACCUUUUACUCUUUGUUCGAUUGAAUGAUAAAAAGUACUCGUUGCAAAGUUAUACUGUUAGGGCACAACUGAGUAGUCUACUUUUGUUCCGGUUUUGGUGUUUUUGAAGGUUGACAUCCAUUCGUACCAUAUUUACACUCUCGCGGUAUAAUAGAACAAUAUAAUUA